UUAAUGCUGACACUCAAAGCUUUUAAGUCUCAGUGGUAAUUAUAUGUAUCACCUGCUUUAACAUUCGGUAAAUCAGCAUUUAGUUCACACAGUGCUUUUGGUUUCGUGUAUUUCUAACUGGAAACAGCGAUUAUUUCCUUAAAUAUCGAAAUACAUUUAUUUUUGUAAUGGUGAAAUGUUGUGUUUUCUUUGCAGUACGGACUGUAUUCUUGUAUGUUAUUUAGACGAGCUUCGGGUUUCAGGGGUUGAAGACAGAACAAUGUUAUCCAGAACUGCUUUCUCUGGAGCGUUUCUUGCGUCUACCACGUAACAACUAGGGCAAGCUAACGGCCUUGUGAGGAACUGUGCUGGCAGCGAGCUGAGUAAAGGUGAUGUUGAAAUAUUUUUGCAUCAAACGUGGUGGAAUCAGUUCUUACAAGGCGGCACUUAACCAUCUGAGAGUGGAAUGGCAUCUUCUGCUGUAACAGAAACAUUUCGUCUGAUUGCUUUUACGUUCGUUUCAGGCAUUGUCUGGGACAUUCACUUCUGCAUGGACGCAGUUAUAAUCAACACUACAGAAAUUGCAUUUGCCGUGGAUUGCGAGC